rnacentral:lncRNA from 1 species
GAGCUGGGGCUGAGGGAUGGACUGAUGCUUUUAGGCUCAAACGUGGCUUUUAGACAGAUUUGUUCAUAGACCCUCUCAAGUGCCCUCUCCGAGCUGGUAGGCAUUCCAGCUCCUCCGUGCUUCCUCAGUUACACAAAGGACCUCAGCUGCUUCUCCCACUUGGCCAAGCAGGGAGGAAGAAGCUUAGACAGGGCUCUCUUUCCUUCUUGCCUUCAGAUGUUCUCUCCCAGGGGCUGGCUUCAGGAGGGAGCAUAGAAGGCAGGCAAGGUCUGGCCUCAGGUGGGCCGCAGGCGGGAAGAGCAGCCCUUGGCCAGAAGUCAAGCCCAGCCACGUGGAGCCUAGAGUGAGGGCCUGAGGUCUGGCUGCUUGCCCCCAUGCUGGGGCCAACAACUUCUCCAUCCUUUCUGCCUCUCAACGUCACUUGAAUCCUAGGGCCUGGGUUUUCAUGUUUUUGAAACAGAA